ACGGGAGGCAGCAGUGGGGAAUAUUGGGCAAUGGGCGAAAGCCUGACCCAGCAACGCCGCGUGAAGGAGGAAGGCCUUCGGGUUGUAAACUUCUUUUAUCAGGGACGAAGAACGUGACGGUACCUGAUGAAUAAGCCACGGCUAACUACGUGCCAGCAGCCGCGGUAAUACGUAGGUGGCAAGCGUUAUCCGGAUUUACUGGGUGUAAAGGGCGCGUAGGCGGGGAUGCAAGUCAGAUGCGAAAUCUAUGGGCUUAACCCAUAAACUGCAUUUGAAACUGUCGUUCUUGAGUGUCGGAGAGGCAAGCGGAAUUCCUAGUGUAGCGGUGAAAUGCGUAGAUAUUAGGAGGAACACCAGUGGCGAAGGCGGCUUGCUGGACGAUAACUGACGCUGAGGCGCGAAAGCGUGGGGAGCAAACAGGAUUAGAUACCCUGGUA
rnacentral:rRNA from 1 species